rnacentral:misc_RNA from 1 species
AAGUCGUAACAAGGUUUCCGUAGGUGAACCUGCGGAAGGAUCAUUAACACUAUCCACGUGUCUAGACAUCCGUCUAUGACAUAAACCCCCUUCUAAGCGAACUAAAAUAGUUUCUUUAUUGAAGCUAUUUCUUUUUUCUCCUAUUUUUAUUAUUUACUUUUAAACCCAAUUGAAACUUCUAGACUGAAACUUUUGGUGUAAGAAAUUGCAUCGAAAAAAAAAACAAAAUUCUAAACAACUCUUAACAACGGAUAUCUUGGUUCUC